rnacentral:rRNA from 1 species
CCACCGGCGACCGGCGCACGGGUGAGUAACACGUAUGCAACCUGGCCGUGACAGAUGGAUAACCGGGAGAAAUCCCGCCUAAUACAACAUAAUGCCGGGAGGGGACAUCCCCUGCCGGUCAAAGGGGGCGACCCCGGUCAUGGAUGGGCAUGCGGCGCAUUAGGUAGUUGGUGGGGCAACGGCCCACCAAGCCGACGAUGCGUAGGGGUUCUGAGAGGAAGGUCCCCCACAUUGGAACUGAGACACGGUCCAAACUCCUACGGAAGGCAGCAG